rnacentral:rRNA from 1 species
CGCUGGCGGCGUGCUUAACACAUGCAAGUCGAACGGUAAGGCCCUUCGGGGGUACACGAGUGGCGAACGGGUGAGUAACACGUGGGUGAUCUGCCCUGCACUUCGGGAUAAGCCUGGGAAACUGGGUCUAAUACCGGAUAGGACUCCUGGCUUCAUGGUUGGGGGUGUAAAGCUUUUGCGGUGUGGGAUGGGCCCGCGGCCUAUCAGCUUGUUGGUGGGGUAAUGGCCUACCAAGGCGACGACGGGUAGCCGGCCUGAGAGGGUGACCGGCCACACUGGGACUGAGAUACGGCCCAGACUCCUACGGGAGGCAGCAGUGGGGAAUAUUGCACAAUGGGCGCAAGCCUGAUGCAGCGACGCCGCGUGAGGGAUGACGGCCUUCGGGUUGUAAACCUCUUUCAAUAGGGACGAAGCGCAAGUGACGGUACCUAUAGAAGAAGGACCGGCCAACUACGUG